rnacentral:rRNA from 1 species
UACGGAGGAUGCGAGCGUUAUCCGGAUUUAUUGGGUUUAAAGGGUGCGUAGGCGGGCUGUUAAGUCAGCGGUCAAAUCGUGGGGCUCAACCCCAUCCAGCCGUUGAAACUGGGGAUCUAGAGUGUGCGAGAGGUAUGCGGAAUGCGUGGUGUAGCGGUGAAAUGCAUAGAUAUCACGCAGAACCCCGAUUGCGAAGGCAGCAUACCGGUGCACAACUGACGCUCAGGCACGAAAGCGUGGGUAUCGAACAGG